GAUGAAGAACGCAGCGAAAUGCGAUAAGUAAUGUGAAUUGCAGAAUUCAGUGAAUCAUCGAAUCUUUGAACGCAUCUUGCGCUCCUUGGUAUUCUGAGGAGCAUGCCUGUUUGAGUGUCAUUAAAUUCUCAACUACACUGACUUUGAAUUGGUGUGGCUUGGAUUUGGGGGGAAAAUUGUUGUGGGCUUUUUGUAUAGUCUGCUCCCCUGAAAUUGAUUAGCGGUACCUUUGUGGAACUGUCUACAGGUGUGAUAAUUAUCUACAUCUUAGACAUCUGCUGGAAUGCUGCUCUCUAAACCUUACUUGUAUUGACAAUCUUGACCUCAAAUCAGGUAGGAGUACCCGCUGAACUUAAGAAUAUCAAUAAGCGGAGGA
rnacentral:misc_RNA from 1 species